CCAAGCAGGCGGACCCGGGCUUUGGCGCCGCGAUCUCGAGGCUUGGCCUGGAGCCGUGGAGCUGCGGAGCCUGUGGCGGGAGCGCGCGUGCGUGGUGGCCGGGCUGCGGCGCUUCGGGUGCGUUGUGUGCCGCUGGAUCGCCCAGGACCUCAGCAGCCUCGCUGGGCUCCUGGACCAGCACGGCGUGCGCCUGGUGGGCGUGGGGCCCGAGGCCCUGGGUCUGCAGGAGUUCCUGGACGGCGACUACUUCGCGGGAGAGCUCUACCUGGAUGAGAGCAAGCAGCUUUAUAAGGAGCUGGGCUUCAAGCGGUACAACAGCCUGAGCAUCCUCCCAGCAGCUCUGGGGAAGCCCGUGCGUGAUGUGGCUGCCAAGGCCAAGGCUGUUGGCAUCCAGGGGAACUUGUCUGGGGACCUGCUGCAGAGCGGAGGGCUGCUGGUGGUCAGCAAAGAAGUCCCCAGGCGACUACGUCCCCAAGGAGCACAUCCUGCAGGUUCUGGGCAUCUCUGCGGAGGUCUGUGCCAGCAACCCGCCUCAGUGUGACAGAGAGGCGUGAGGGAGGCGAAGGCCCUGGCCCCCGAGGAGCUGGGUGGCGUCUGCUGCCCUAGGUGUGCUGGAAGUCCGCUUGGAAGAACUGUUCUGGAAGCGCUGGGCCGGGAUGCCGAACCUUUCCUGAUCCGCGGGCAGCAAUGAGCCAAGAAAACUGCAGUUCCUGAGCACGCACUGCUUUGUGGGCUCCGAGCCCUGCAUCCUCCACAGCCCCCGACUCGCUCACUGUUGGGGCCCUC
rnacentral:sRNA from 1 species